AUCACCUAUGGAUCUUGAGACCUGCAAAAGUAGCAAAGCUCUGUCAACUGAGUAACCCUCUAUCUGUGCAUAUUAUUGUUAAGCAGGCAAUGCAAUAAUCUUCUCUUUGCAACAAUUUCACAGCUAUCUCCUGCCAAUGUAUAAAAAAAUUCAGAUUGUAAUGUUUUAAUAAUUUUAUACUCUUCGCUACAAAUCUCACUUGAAUUUCUAAAUAUGCAAAUAGGCAGAUCACGCACCAACGGAUUUAUCAUAUUUUGCAGUCAUCUAAUUCCAGUGAUCUGUGAAAGCACCACUUCAUGCUUAAAGUAGGAGUGGCAAUUCAUGUUCAUGGGUCAUGUUUGCGUCGACAAAUAGAUACAACAGAAUUUGGGUUAACACGAACAUGACACAAUAAGCUAAUCAUGUCAGAAAUGCAAAACACGACAUGAUAACACAUUUAACACUAUGUUUACGUGACCCAUUUAAUACACACACAUUUAACACAUUGACACAACCCAUUUAACACUUUAUGAUGCUAAUUCAAUAUGUUUAGAUUUAUUAAUUUCUUGAUAUAGAAAAUAUUAAAAAUAUUAAAUUAUAAAUACAA
rnacentral:misc_RNA from 1 species